ACAAUGCGCGAAGGCGUGAUGGGGUUAGCCCGAGUGCUAUCCGAAAAGGAUGGCUUUUCCUUGGCGUAAAAACCCAGGGGAAUAAAGGGGGGGCAAGACUGGUGUCAGCCGCCGCGGUAAUACCAGCUCCCUGAGUGGUAAGGACGAUUAUUUGGCUUAAAGCGUCCGUAGCCGGCUUAGUGAGUCUUUGUUAAAUCCAAUGAUUCAAUCAUUGAACUGCAAGAGAUACUGCUAUGCUAGAGGACGGGAGAGGUCGACGGUAGUCCAGGGGUAGGGGUGAAAUCCUAUAAUCCUUGGAGGACCACCAGUGGCGAAGGCGGUCGACUAGAACGUGCCUGACGGUGAGGGACGAAAGCUGGGGGAGCGAACCGGAUUAGAUACCCGGGUAGUCCCAGCUGUAAACGAUGCGGGCUAGGUGUAGGGGCAGCUACGAGCUGCUCCUGUGCCGCAGAGAAAUUGUUAAGCCCGCCGCCUGGGGAGUACGAUCGCAAGAUUGAAACUUAA
rnacentral:rRNA from 1 species